rnacentral:rRNA from 1 species
UGAGGAAUAUUGGUCAAUGGACGGGAGUCUGAACCAGCCAAGUAGCGUGCAGGAUGACGGCCCUAUGGGUUGUAAACUGCUUUUAUAGGGGGAUAAAGUGUGCCACGUGUGGCAUAUUGCAGGUACCCUAUGAAUAAGGACCGGCUAAUUCCGUGCCAGCAGCCGCGGUAAUACGGAAGGUCCGGGCGUUAUCCGGAUUUAUUGGGUUUAAAGGGAGCGUAGGCCGUAGUAUAAGCGUGUUGUGAAAUGUAGACGCUCAACGUCUGCACUGCAGUGCGAACUGGUUUCCUUGAGUACGCACAAAGUGGCGGAAUUCGUGGCGUAGCGGUGAAAUGCUUAGAUAUCACGAAGAACUCCGAUUGCGAAGGCAGCUCACUGGAGC